CCUACGGGUGGCAGCAGUGGGGAAUAUUGCACAAUGGGGGGAACCCUGAUGCAGCGACGCCGCGUGGGUGAAGGAGUAUUUCGGUAUGUAAAGCCCUAUCAGCAGGGAAGAACAAUGACGGUACCGGACUAAGAAGCACCGGCUAAAUACGUGCCAGCAGCCGCGGUAAUACGUAGGGUGCAAGCGUUAUCCGGAUUUACUGGGUGUAAAGGGAGCGCAGGCGGCGCGUUAAGCCUUGUGUGAAAGCCCGGGGCCCAACCGCGGGACUGCAUUGGUUACUGGCGCGCUGGAGUGCCGGAGGGGUAGGCGGAAUUCCUAGUGUAGCGGUGAAAUGCGUAGAUAUUAGGAGGAACACCAGUGGCGAAGGCGGCCUACUGGACGGUGACUGACGCUGAGGCUCGAAAGCGUGGGGAGCAAACAGGAUUAGAUACCCCUGUAGUC
rnacentral:rRNA from 1 species